CUCCCGAGCCCUUCCCGGGCCUGGAACCCGCUGGUUCCCCCCCCCGAGCAGCGUGGCGGGGCCGGGGUUGACGUUUUUCUCUCUUUUUAGGCCAAUUCUACAGCAACGGCGGCCACUCCAACUCGGGGAGCGGCGGCGGAGGCGGCGGCUCCUCGGGCUACGGCUCCUACUACCAGGGCGGCGACAACUACAACUCGCCCGUGCCCCCCAAGCACGGGGGCAAGAAGCAGCAGCACGGGGGGCAGCAGAAGCCCUCCUACGGCUCGGGGUACCAGUCCCACCAGGGCCAGCAGCAGCAGUCCUACAACCAGAACCAGUACAGUAACUACGGCCCGCCGCAAGGCAAGCAGAAAGGCUACAACCACGGCCAGGGCAACUACUCCUCCUACUCCAACUCCUACAACUCGCCGGGCGGAGGGGGCUCCGACUACAACUACGAGAGCAAAUUCAGUGAGUGGGGCUCGAUUGUUUUGGGGGGAGGGAGCUGGGGGGGGGUAAAACCACACAAAGGAUGCUCCAGCCCUUUGCUCCCGUCCGCUGGGUGCAUGGGAGCGACGUGGCAGGCUCCAAGCGCUCUUUUUUGGGUCAUUUUGCUGGUAAAUUCAAUCCACUUGGGGUCGGGGUGCUCGCUGCUCCGUCCUGAGAGGCUGCUGCUGCUUUUUGGGGGGCAAACGGGGAACCAUGGGGGUGGCUUGGGACAACCAGGUGGGUGUAUUGGAUCCCCGAGGGGCAGCCGUCCCUUUGGCUACUGGGAGCAGCUGGGCUGGGCACUGGGAGCAGCUGGGCUGGGCACUGGGAGCAGCUGGGCUCGCUGGGUGCCUGCAGGAGGAGCUGCAGCCCCGCGCUCAGCCCCGGCUCCCUUCCAGGUUACGGCAGCAGCGGCCGCGGCGGCGGGGGGAACAACUACUCCGGGGGUGCCUCCUACAACACCGGCUCACACGGGGGCUAUGGGGGAGGAUCUGGGGGCGGAGGGUCCUCGUACCAAGGUGGAUAUUCCUCGCAGUCCAACUACAACUCCCCGGGCUCCGGCCAAAAUUACAGCGGCCCCCCCAGUUCCUACCAGGCGUCCCAAGGCGGCUACGGCAGAAACGAUCACAGCAUGAACUACCAGUACAGAUAAAGCAGCCCCCCCUCGGCGGGCACGGGGCUUUGUUACCUCCUGCCCCCGCUCCCCCUUUGAAUAUUCAGUUUUAUGGCCUCACAGUAAACGUAACCCCCCCCUUCCUCCCUUUUCCCCCCCGUUUCCAUGUUGCAGUGCUCUUUGUGAUACCGGUCACUAAUGGUUGAGUACCUGUAAUUCCAUCCUUAGCUGUAUUUUGGGCAUCUCUGUAUUUAAUGGUUUGUUAGUUGCCAUUACGACUUUGUCUGAAUAGGGUUUUUGAGUUACUACGAGUUUUCGGAAUCCUUUUUCUAUUUAAAAAGUGGCGUUGCCGUGUUCCCACAGUGUGGCUUUAAAUAGAUAAGGGAUAUGUCACCUGUUAAUGCUUUCGUGAAGUGAGUUAAACGAGCUUUCUGUAUUUUAAUGCUUUAGUGUUUCAGUUUUAUAAGUGAAGAUUUUAUUUUAAAAACCAGUGGGACAGAGUGGGUUUUGUAUGCCUGAAUUGUUCAGGCAGCACACCUGGAUUCAGCUGAAUGUAGACAAAUAAACACAAACUCUUGAUGGCUUCGUCUCCGAGC
rnacentral:lncRNA from 1 species